AAUAAUUUUAAUUGUUAAUUAGAGUGUUUGUUUUUUAGAAUUAAAUAAUUAUAAAAUAGUAAAGUUUUUCAAAAAUGGACAACGAAUCAUCGAAUGGAACUAAUGAAAAAUUUGAAUACUCUGCUGAAAAAACAGAAAUGCUUUUCAAAUCAGUUAAAACGAACUUGGUUGAAAUUACACAGCUUGCGCAUGAAGCGGACAAGAAUUUGAAGAGUCUUCAGCAAAGUAUGGCUAACACGAAAAAUCUGUUGAAACUUCUACAAGAAGACAAGGAAUUAAAUUAAAAAAUUAGAAUUAUUACAUGUAAAUUUAUUUUUAAUAAACUGUGUACGGGUUUAAUAAGUUAAAUAAGGGUUCAAAUAAGUUAUGAAUAAGUAAUGAUAUUGAAGACUAAGUAUAAUAAAGAAGUUCUUUAUUAAUUGUUUAAUAAGUAUGAUUAAAAAAUACAAUAAAGUGAAAUUAAUUAAUUAA